ACCCAUGCACACAGGCACGCUGCAAGUCAGUGUGGAGUUGAGUCUUAAGAACCAGGCUUCCUGUCUUGAGUCUGGUGUUCAUCCCUACCACUCUACCUGUCCAGGUGUGUCCAGGAUAUAGGGCACUGGCAAAUAAGACACUGCAGGACCACCUGUGGUGGCCAUUUCUUUUCUUCUUGAUGGAGGAAGUUUGCUUCUGGGGAGCACUGCACUUUGGACCCAAGGUAUUUAAAAUGCUGGUGGGGGAUAAGCAGGACUAUAGACAAAGUAGAGGAAGUAGCCUGAAUUUGCUCCCCCAUGAGGGGCCCUUUCUAGAUGCUCACUCCUUCCUCAGCAUUUUACCCAUUCCUUUCACCUUACCUCCAGGUUCCUAAGAAAACCUCUUCUCCCUUCCUUCACUCUCCUAAGGCAUAAAUGAUUGACUACAGUUUAAAGGGCUAUUGCUCCAGGCCUUAGCUUACCUUACAAUUAUGUAGUUUAUGCCUCAACUUACAAGAAAAGCAUAUUCAAACCCACGGUCUUGUGAAAAUGAAUUAAAGAAAGCGUCACUAAAAUGGAGUCAGGAGGUUCAGGAGGGGAGGCUCUCACACCCUUCCACUUCUCUUCAAUUGCAAAUUCAAUAGGAAAAGGUGGAUUUUGCUUGUGGAUACCACUUCACUACAACAGCAGGAGGAAGGAAAGCUUUCUUCUCCCCCUCGGUAACAGCCCAGCCAAUGAGGGACAGUGAUAACUCAGCCAAUGAGAAGCCACUAUACUUCAAACUCCCAGUUUAUUCCAAUGGGCUUGCUGUUUAUAACAGCCGCCUUCUAUAAAAGAGCGUUCCUUUCCUUUGUUCCCUAAACUUGCUUGUGUUGUUCGCAUGGCUUCCGUGUCCCAGUUUGUAGUUCUCUGCUAUUCCUUAAUAAACGCAUUUUUGCUGGUUAAAGAACCAGAAGUUUUAUUUUUAAGGUUAUUAGUCUCCAAGAGAAAGUAUAAGUUUUUAGCGACUGGCAUAGCCUAAGCAGACAACUAGCGAGAACAAACAGCGGCUAGAGCACGGAGUGGGUGUUGAAGCCUCUGUCACCCCCUCCGUAGCACCAGGCACCACCUCAGCUGCUGAUCCAUGGGGAAGUCUUUUCUAGGAUAUUUGGAGGAAGAUACUACAUUUUCUUUUCAAACACUGAGGAAACGAUAUCCAUGAGGUUCAACAGCUUCUCAAGCUCUCACAGCUGGUGAGUUUCUGGCAGUUGGGUAAGUUUAGAGCAUGGGGUAUCCAAGAUGGGAGGCUCCUUGUGAGACAGAGGAGAUGGGAGCCCUGGGCUGGCAGAGGGCACCACACGGGCUCUAACCCCAGAUGUCAAGGAGCAGAUUGUGGGGAAACAACAGAAAGAACAGGGGUGUGUGUGUGUGUGUGUGUGUGUGUGUGUGUGUGUGUGUUUUGAUGCUGGCUGGGAAGAUGAAGGGGGGUGGAGGUGGGCAGACAUGGGAGACAUUGUUGGCUUUGCUUCUUGCCCUAUAUGGGAAGAUUGUCACCCAGAGAAUGUGAUCACAUUUGGAGCAUUAGCUGUGGCAUUUGAUUUUAGAAAUAGCUGUGUCUUGUUCAUCAGGGGCUGCUGAUUAACUCCUGAUGCCCACCCCAACCCCUCCCCCACUCCCUGCAAUUGCUAAGCUGCGUAGAAUCCUGAGCUCUGUGGAUUGUGAUGCAAGCAAAAACCUGGUUCAUGUUGGAGUAGGGCCUCUCUUUGAAGAAUUGCUGGGUCCUAGGUUGUCAAAGAUUAGGAAACUCAAUUUGCUCCUCUGUGGAUGGAGUCUGAAAUGCUGAUCAGCACUUGCCCAGAAUUCUAGGUACCACCCCCCAGCCCUGCUAUUUCGGGGGCUAGAUGGGGUCCAGAUUCCUCCUCCCCUCCCCAUUCUUCCUGGAAAAGCACAUAUGCUUCUUAGGGUAUCAGGUAAAGGCCUGGCUGCUUGCCCCCCUGGGAGGAGAGUUUAGCCUCAUGACAACCUGUGCUCCAGUGGCUCUGCCCAGGACUCGAGAUUUAUGAGGUCUCUAGGAGCACCAGGGGUGUGGGAAGGACUUAUGAUGUGAAAUGCUAUGAGUCUAUCUACUUGGUUUCCCCACAGAUCCUGACUAGGGGCUAGGAACCAGGUUGACAUGGGUCCUGUCAGUGAACAAGUCCCAUGUCAGGUUUCUUCUGCUGCCACUCCCUUGAUAGCACAUGGCCUUUCCCCAAACUACAUGCUCCCUCCCAACAAAGGAUAUUAAUAGGUGUGAGUCUUGUGCCAGGUUCAAAGUGACCAAAAAACCCCCAAAAUAAAAAACUUUGUUUCUAGGCA